GACGAACGCUGGCGGCGUGCUUAACACAUGCAAGUCGAACGGAAAGGCCCUGCUUUUGUGGGGUGCUCGAGUGGCGAACGGGUGAGUAACACGUGAGUAACCUGCCCUUGACUUUGGGAUAACUUCAGGAAACUGGGGCUAAUACCGGAUAGGAGCUCCUGCUGCAUGGUGGGGGUUGGAAAGUUUCGGCGGUCGGGGAUGGACUCGCGGCUUAUCAGCUUGCUGGUGGGGUAGUGGCUUACCAAGGUGUUGACGGGUAGCCGGCCUGAGAGGGUGACCGGCCACAUUGGGACUGAGAUACGGCCCAGACUCCUACGGGAGGCAGCAGUGGGGAAUAUUGCACAAUGGGCGGAAGCCUGAUGCAGCAACGCCGCGUGCGGGAUGACGGCCUUCGGGUUGUAAACCGCUUUCGCCUGUGACGAAGCGUGAGUGACGGUAAUGGGUAAAGAAGCACCGGCUAACUACGUG
rnacentral:rRNA from 1 species